rnacentral:tRNA from 1 species
GCACGGGCGGGUUGCGCGGCCACAGUUCCGGCGUUUCCAGUGCCCGGGCCUGGGCCGGCAGGGUCAUGCCGUCGUUCAGCUCGACGCCCUUGCAC